GUUCAUCAAUAUUACUCCAGGAAUGUUGGGCUAAGUCUGCUUGCGACUUGUUGCUGAAUUGUCCAGCAAAGGAAAAGAACAAAAACAGGAUGGAGUUGAAAAAAGGAGAAAGAAGUAGCAACAUUGGUGGAAUGUGGAGGGGAAGAAAAAGAAAGGAGGAGAUAAAACUGGGCAGAGGUUGUAUAUGUCACGGGCAAGUUCAUGAACCUUGCUUUGUAGCUAAUGAACAACUCAUGAAGAUCCUUCAGCAGCUUCUGGAUGAAAUGCAAAGAUUUAUAACAUUACAGUAUUUGCAAUUACAUCAUACUGUGGUAAAAAGAUUCUAGAAUUUUAUUAAGCUUCCGCUGAACUGGUUGGUAUAAAUAGUCCUAAAUAAAAUAUAUUUGGCU